CGCUAUAGCUCAGUUGGCAGAGCACCCGCUUAGUAAGCGGAAGGUCGUGGGUUCGAAUCCCACUGGUG
rnacentral:tRNA from 1 species